rnacentral:rRNA from 1 species
GACGAACGCUGGCGGCGUGCUUAACACAUGCAAGUGGAGCGACGAACCAGGGCUUGCCCUGGGGCAAAGCCGCGAACGGGUGAGUAACACGUGGGUGACCUGCCCUCAGCUCUGGGAUAAGCCUGGGAAACCGGGUCUAAUACUGGAUAUGACUCCAUGACGCAUGUUGUGGGGUGGAAAGCCUUGUGCGGCUGAGGAUGGGCCCGCGGCCUAUCAGCUUGUUGGGGGGUGAUGGCCUACCAAGGCGACGACGGGUAGCCGGCCUGAGAGGGCGACCGGCCACACUGGGACUGAGACACGGCCCAGACUCCUACGGGAGGCAGCAGUGGGGAAUCUUGCGCAAUGGGCGAAAGCCUGACGCAGCGACGCCGCGUGA